rnacentral:miRNA from 1 species
CUAAUAGCGAGCAUCUGGGCC